AAGGGAAGUUAUGUUUGCUAGUAAAUGAAUUUUGUGACAAAGAUUGUUUUAAUGAGUGGCAGCCAGAAAUUAUGCUUCCAGCCUUAGACUUGGGAAUGUAAGAUCUAUUCUGAAAAUCUGGUCUUCCACUAUUUCCACUGAAGGCAGGCCAUAGAUAAAGUUUGAGUGAUGGUUCCUCUGUGUGCUAGAGACUCACGAAUCCCUUCCCUUUGUACCAGCCAGUGUUAAGGAUCCUGCUGCCAUCUACUCAAGGCGUUCCUUAAAAGUGCAAUCAGGCUGCUGGAGUUGGGAGCUCCCAGGGAACCACUGCUGCCACCUUUCCCAGGAGGAAGCGCCCUGUGAGCUUCGUGGGCAAGAAGCUCCCUCGUGUGGAAAUUCCGGAAUUUGCAGAGGAAUACAGGAUGCUUUCUGCUAUUCUCGCUAAUCUCACGCUGGUGUCGUUCUGUGAAAUGCAGCUCCUGCAAGCCUGACUGUCGACUGAGAAAAAGAACCAGAUUUUGGGGUUUUUUUUCUCUUUAAAUCCCUUUGCCAUCUUAGAAGUCACUGCUAUUGUAGCCCAUAAUCUUGAGUCUCCUGCAGCUAUUGAGCUGCGUGUGUCUGAACACUCGACUGUAUUCAGUGCCUUAAAAUCAGAGGAUCCCCACCUAUCUCCCACUUUUCCCCUGCAAUUUCCAGUCUUUUUGUGGCCCUUAACAAGCCAAAGACAUCUCUAAGCAAAUGUGCCCAACCU